UCGUAACAAGGUUUCCGUAGGUGAACCUGCGGAAGGAUCAUUACUGAGUGCGGGCUGCCUCCGGGCGCCCAACCUCCCACCCGUGACUACCUAACACUGUUGCUUCGGCGGGGAGCCCUCUCGGGGGCGAGCCGCCGGGGACUACUGAACUUCAUGCCUGAGAGUGAUGCAGUCUGAGUCUGAAUAUAAAAUCAGUCAAAACUUUCAACAAUGGAUCUCUUGGUUCCGGCAUCGAUGAAGAACGCAGCGAACUGCGAUAAGUAAUGUGAAUUGCAGAAUUCAGUGAAUCAUCGAGUCUUUGAACGCACAUUGCGCCCCCUGGCAUUCCGGGGGGCAUGCCUGUCCGAGCGUCAUUGCUGCCCAUCAAGCCCGGCUUGUGUGUUGGGUCGUCGUCCCCCCCGGGGGACGGGCCCGAAAGGCAGCGGCGGCACCGUGUCCGGUCCUCGAGCGUAUGGGGCUUUGUCACCCGCUCGAUUUAGGGCCGGCCGGGCGCCAGCCGACGUCCAACCAUUUUUCUUCAGGUUGACCUCGGAUCAGGUAGGGAUACCCGCUGAACUUAAGCAUAUCAAUAAGCGGAGGAAAAGAAACCAACCGGGAUUGCCCCAGUAACGGCGAGUGAAGCGGCAAGAGCUCAAAUUUGAAAUCUGGCCCCUCCGGGGUCCGAGUUGUAAUUUGCAGAGGAUGCUUCGGGUGCGGCCCCUGUCUAAGUGCCCUGGAACGGGCCGUCAGAGAGGGUGAGAAUCCCGUCUUGGGCAGGGUGCCCGUGCCCGUGUGAAGCUCCUUCGACGAGUCGAGUUGUUUGGGAAUGCAGCUCUAAAUGGGUGGUAAAUUUCAUCUAAAGCUAAAUACCGGCCGGAGACCGAUAGCGCACAAGUAGAGUGAUCGAAAGAUGAAAAGCACUUUGAA
rnacentral:misc_RNA from 1 species